AAUAUUGCGCAAUGGGGGAAACCCUGACGCAGCAACGCCGCGUGAGCGAUGAAGGCCUUCGGGUCGUAAAUCUCUGUCUUCUCUGACGAUAAUGACGGUAAGAGACGAGGAAUCCACGCCUAACUACGUGCCAGCAGCCGCGGUAAUACGUAGGUGGCGAGCGUUGUCCGGAAUUACUGGGCGUAAAGGGUGCGUAGGCGGAAUCUUAGGUCAGAUGUGAAAAUCCCAGGCUCAACCUGGGAACUGCAUUUGAAACUGGGGUUCUAGAGUGCAGGAGAGGAAAGCGGAAUUCCUAGUGUAGCGGUGAAAUGCGUAGAUAUUAGGAAGAACACCAGUGGCGAAGGCGGCUUUCUGGACUGUAACUGACGCUGAGGCACGAAAGCGUGGGGAGCAAACAGG
rnacentral:rRNA from 1 species